CCUACGGGUGGCAGCAGUGAGGAAUAUUGGUCAAUGGACGAGAGUCUGAACCAGCCAAGUAGCGUGAAGGAUGACUGCCCUAUGGGUUGUAAACUUCUUUUAUAUGGGAAUAAAAUGUUCCACGUGUGGGAUUUUGUAUGUACCAUAUGAAUAAGGAUCGGCUAACUCCGUGCCAGCAGCCGCGGUAAUACGGAGGAUCCGAGCGUUAUCCGGAUUUAUUGGGUUUAAAGGGCGCGUAGGUGGAUUGUUAAGUCAGUUGUGAAAGUGUGCGGCUCAAGCGUAAAAUUGCAGUUGAAACUGGCAGUCUGGAGUACAGUAGAGGUGGGCGGGAUGCGUGGUGUAGCGGUGAAAUGCUUAGAUAUCACGAAGAACUCCGAUUGCGAAGGCAGCUCACUGGACUGCAACUGACACUGAGGCUCGAAAGUGUGGGUAUCAAACAGGAUUAGAUACCCGAGUAGUC
rnacentral:rRNA from 1 species